rnacentral:lncRNA from 1 species
UGUUUUUUUUUGGUUUUGCAUUACCUUGAUUAGCCAUGCUAGCUAGUUGAGGUUGGUUGCCCGUAAAUAUGUCAGUGUUAGCGCCUUGUGACUGAACUUGCCAUGGGGCCCCCCUAAGAGUGUUUUGGUCAUAAGAACCUACAAAAAAAUGGGAGUGUAGGACAUAAGUAGAAUGUCAUCUUCAUCGUUGCGAAGUUGGCAACUGCUCUCUUCUUUUUGUUACCAUGCAUCAUACCUACGCUUGCAUACUGUUCUAGUAGUGGCAGCAACGGCCCUGCAGAGAUGAGUUGACUAUACUCUGCUGCAUCCCAAGGCGGUGUUUCUGGCCUUUGAGAACCCCAAGCAUCAGCGCCACCUUCGCGAUUCAUCCUUUCCGCGUCUAGAUUCUUUUCCGACAUGUUCCUCAAUCACUAGAUGAUCAAAAAGGCAUCAAUAAUCCACAAGAAUUUGUAUUCUUCUGCUGCUUGCACAUGGAAGAUAGGGAUGGCAAGCAACAGGUCAAAAUAGGUGGCAAUUGUCAUCAUACACAAGCGGCAACUGUCGUUACACACAAGUGGCAAUUAUUUUUCCCACCCUCUUCAUUCAAAAAAUCGUCCUUCCUGCCCUUUUUUAGGGAUUCCUACUCAUCCAUUUCAUACCCAACUACUUAAGUGCCUAAACUAGGCACCUAAGUUAACCUCAAACGUAGUACAUGGCAGAUCCGGUGUAUUCUGCCUGGCAAUUGUGAAUAUACACCGAACCAUGCAGUGUUCUACCCCUAUAGUAUGGACCCAGUACAAGAUCGGGAGAUUUUCAGCCUUAAGGAUGAGAGGGAAGGACGAGAUCGAGAAUUUUCACCUGGUUUUAGUUGAUCGUGUCUGGAGGGCUGGAUUAGAGUGGGCGGCUGGGGAUGGGAAGGGUUAGGGUGUGGUUUGGGGUCGGAGCGCCCUACGGAUCUGCCCUGGUUGCCAUGGCAACCAGGGAUGGCCGGCGAUGGAUGUCGGGGUUCGAGAGGUGGGGGACGAUGGCGGCGUACGAGAGAGGGGAUGGAUCGGAGGCGUGGAUCGGCUGGGUCGUGCGGGCAGCCGGUCUUCUGGCCCGGACGGGGCAGUGCGGGCGGGGUUGCCACACACCGGACGUGCGGGCCGUGCUUUUGUGCGCUCGGACAUGGUCGUGCGGGCCGAUCCCCGUCUAUGCCGCACGAGGCGUGCGGGCGGGUUCCUAUCGACGCCACACGUUUGGCAGUUAUUCGGACCCAUAUGUUUUUAAUUACGGAUUGAAAAGUAACAAGGUGUGAACACAUUAAUUUAGAGUUCUUUUUCAUUUUAAAAGCCAUAACUUUUGAAUCAAAUAUCGAAAUUAAGAUCCGCUUUCAUCCUUGAAACCCUUACGACGUGCUCUUCGAAACUAAAUCCCGCAUGGGUAUGUUUCGAUGAAUUAUUUUUUUGGGUGCAAUUUAGUACCUCGUUUUGUGCAACUGCCUAGUAGUCGAUGUGUAACUAGCUGACCGUGGAUGUGCAACAUUCCGCCUACCCCAUGGAUGUGCAGUUUUCACUGAUGUCACCUCCACCCCCUCAAACUACCCCUUCUAGUGAGAUGAGCAAUUUCGUCCGUUUGCUCGGGCCAACUGCCUAGUAAUUGACGUGCAACUUACCGCUCACCCAUGGAUGUGCUUUCACUAUUUACUGCAUCCGCCAACUUUCUAUUAGUGGUUGUGCAACUUUGGAUACUGCCACGGCCAACUGUCUAACAGUGAUUUGCAACUUUCUCCUAUACCCUAUGGAUGUGUAGUUUCCCUGCUAGCACACGGUCCAAACCACCCCUGCUAGUGAGAUUCGCAACUUUCGCACUCUGUCUAUAUGUAACUUUUCACAACCCUCAUGAAUGUCAAUUUUUUACCAUUCAACUGUCCUUACUUGUGAGAUGUGCAACUUCGUAUGUUGCCCUGGCCAACUACCUAGCAGAGUAUGUGCAACUCUGUUUGUUACCCCCGCUAAUUGAAAAUACAUGUCCACAAAAUAGGAAGGGGAAGGAGUUGCACAUUGACUAAUAGACAGUUGGCUUGAAUAAUAGACUAAGUUGCACAAAUCGCUUGCAGUGAAAAACUACGCAUCGAUUGGAGGAAGCUGUGGACCGUCACUGAGAUUGGUCUGACCGAUCUGUGCAAAAUGGCGGAAGCUGAUGACAUUCGCAAGUACACUCUUCUCAACCUCACGGCGAAGGACGUCAUCUGCUCUUGUCUAUCUCAAAAUCAGUUUAGGAAUGGCAUGCAUCUCGAUCAUGCAAAGCUCAUCUAGGACCGUCUCUCGGAGGUCUAUAAGGGUCAUCGAACUCGUCAUGAUCCUCGGCUCGAGGACUUUAAGGAGUCACUCAAAGCGAUGACUUCCGAACCAGAAUCAUCAUCUUCUACAUCAUGCCUUAUGGCAAAUGAUGCUAAGGUAAUUGAAUGCUAUCUAUCUAAAUCCAGUGAUGAUGAAUUUGGACCCAGCUAUGCAAAACUUGCUUUCCUUGUCACUAAACAACAGAAAGCUAUGGAAUAUAUUCAAAAACUGUUAGACAAAAGCGAUGACCUGUUGUACGCUAAAAUGACUCGAUCUCAGUCCUUAAUUGAAAACAUAAAAAAUCUUCAUAUUAAGUAUGAGGAGCUUGAAAGUCGUCAUGAAAUGCUCUCAACAACUCAUGAAGAACUCGAGAAAUGGAGAGCGGCUCAUGAAGAUCUUCAAAAGGAAAAUGAGUCACUUCGCGCUGAACAGAUCAGUUCAGCUCAGGAAGGAUUUGAACCACCAUGUCUUAAAUGCAUUGAGCGUGAUAACGCUACUCCUGUUGCUGAAUGUUCGACUGCUGCUACUGUUGCAAUAUCUUCAACUGUUGAUGUGGAAACUAACCCCUCUGCUGAGGACACCACUGCUAUUGCUGAUGAGAAUGCUAGGUUGAAGACACUGCUUGAAACAGGGAUGUACAAAAGUCUCAAAGGGCAUCAGACACUAUGUGACGUCCUCAAAAGGCAGAUCCUGAACCAAAACCCUAGGAAAGAGGGUGUUGGGUUCGUAAGGAAAAUGAAUGCUGAUGGCUCUUACUGAAAACCUGAGCAGUACCCCAAAACCACAUGGGUUGCUGCAAAGGAACCUUCAGCAGAUCCAUCCACUCUAUUUGGCUUCACUUGUGUUAACCCCGUUUUUAUUGAUGAAUCCUUUGAUGCAAACUAUAAACUAUUUAAGAAUCAGAAUGGUGAAGUGUUUGCCAGGUAUAUUGGUACUAACUGCAGGAAUGGACCGCCUAUGAAGAAGAUCUGGGUGCCGAAAAGAUGUUUGGAGAAUCUUCCUGUGAAUGUCAUCAUGACACCACAGGUGAAGAAGACAAACCCUAGACCACAGGCCUCAUACGGUCCAAAGGCUUCAUACAGACAGAGGACUCACCUGAGUCACACUAACGCAAAUGUUUUGCAGGGAAGCCAUACUCAGGCCUAUGAAUAUGAGCGCGGUUCAUCAAAUCGCCAUGUUCAUAAGACCAAGAACUAUUCUGCUUAUUCUUAUGAAUACUAUUGUCCACCUGCAAGACUUUUUGCUAGGGCUCCAAAGCUAAAGUUCUCAGAUGCUGCACUUAGACUUAUUGCUUCGAAGCCACCCCUGAAGAUGUGGGUGGCUAAGAAAGCUUAACUCUCUUUUGCAGGGAAAGGUCUCCAGCCAAAAACCAAAAUCGUCUAACACUAUUGCUGGGGACCUUAAACAUCUUGUAGGGCGCAAGAUCAAAUGCCCAAAUGGUCUUACUAUGUACUUUGUUUCUGAAUCGCUUGCAACUUGCCCUAUCAGUCCUAAUCUCGAUCUAAGCUUUAAUAAUCCACUGGUUCAUCAAAUGUUUUUGCUUCACAAUUCUCUUCGUGAAGCCUAUCCCCCUAACUGCACUGUAGGGUACGACACCAGCUGCUUCAGAAUGGAUUAUUGAUAGUGGGUGUACAAAUCACAUGACUGGCAAGCGAAGCCUUCUCAUGGACUCAACUUUACGUCCAUCAGACAAAAGUCACAUCACAUUUGCUGACACUGGUAAAAGCAAGGUAUUGGGUCUAGGUAGAGUUGCAAUCUCAAAGGAUCAACACAUGGAUAAAGUCAUGCUUGUUGAGUCCCUUGGUUUCAACUUAAUGUCUGUCUCAAUGCUUUGUGAUUUAAACAUGAUUGUGAUGUUUGGAAAAUAUCGUUGCCUUGUACUAAUGGAAUCUGACAAGUCUCUAGUGUUUGAAGGGUAUCGAAAAGAUGGUUUGUAUGUUGUAGAUUUCUCAGCAGGACCACAACUUGCAAUAUGUCUUCUAGCAAAAGCUUCUGAAUGCUGGCUCUGGCAUCGAAGGCUAGGGCAUGCUGGCAUGAGGAACCUCCACACCCUUGUAACGAAGAAGCAUGUCAUAGGCAUCGAGGGCGUCAAGUUCAAUAAGGAUCACUUAUGCGGUGCCUGUGAAGCAGGAAAUAUGACGACGACCAAGCAUCCCUCGAAGACAAUCAUGACAACGACUCAACCCUUCUAACUGCUACACAUGGAUCUUUUCGGUCCCACUCAUUACUCAACUCUUACUACUACUGCUUGUCUCUAUGGCUUUGUCAUUGUUGAUGAUUAUUUAAGAUAUACUUGGGUACAUAUAAUCCUUUACAAGACUGAAGUGCAGGAUGUCUUCAGACGCUUCGCCAAUCGAGCAAUGAACAACUAUGGCGCCAAGAUAAAGCACAUCAGAAGUGACAAUGGCACUGAAUUCAAGAACACUAGCCUUGAUACAUAUCUUGAUACUUUGGGCAUCACACAUGAAUUCUCAGCUCCGUACACGCCACAGCAGAAUGGCGUCGUCGAAUGCAAGAACAGAACACUUAUUGAGAUGGCUCGGAUGAUGCUUGAUGAAUACAAGACUCCAAGAAAAUUCUGGCCUGAAGCCAUUGACAUUGCAUGCCAUAUCAUCAACCGUGUUUAUCUUCACAAACUUCUGAACAAGACAUCCUAUGAGCUCCUUACUGGCAAGAAGCCAAAUGUCAGUUACUUCAGAGUAUUUGGCGCCAAGUGCUGGAUCAAGGAUCCACAUCACACUUCAAAAUUUGCACCAAAAGCACAUGAGGGUUUUAUGCUUGGAUAUGGAAAGGAUUCGCACUCCUAUAGAGUCUUCAAUCUCUUUCAUUACAAAGUGGGUGAAAUAGUGUAUGUGUGGUUCAAUGAAACUAACGGCUCACAAAGAGAGCACUUGCCAAAGUGCUAGAUGAAGUUCCAUCCAGUGAAUCAAUCAAACAUAUGGGAACUGGAGAAAUCAUACCUUCUGAAGCUCAACCUGAAGAAGAACUUAUCAUCUCCGCACCUGAUCAACCUGAAGACAAUGCUCAGCCUGAAGACAAUCCCUCUAACAAUGACAAUGAACAGCAAGAGCAAAAUCUUUGUCUUGUACAUCCUCGUGUUGCAAAUGAAGUGCAGAUUGAGAGAAUAAUCGUUAGCAUCAAUGCACCAGGUCCACUCACUCGUUCAAGGGCAACACAGCUAGCAAAUUUCUGUGGGCACUUUGCAUUCGUCUCAAUAACAGAACCCAAGAAAGUUGAAGAGGCCUUCAUGGAACCUGAAUGGAUUCAAGCUAUGCAAGAAGAGCUUCAACAGUUUGAGCUGAAUAAUGUAUGGGAACUGGUUAAGCGUCCUGAUCCUCGGAAGCACAAUAUAAUAGGCACCAAAUGGAUAUAUCGCAACAAGCAAGAUGAGCAUGGUCAAGUUGUCAGAAACAAAUCUCGUCUCAUUGCUCAAGGAUACACUCAGGUUGAAGGGAUUGACUUCGAUGAAACAUUUGCUCCUGUGGCUAGACUUGAAGCCAUACGCAUACUGCUGGCCUAUGCAAAUCAUCACAACAUACUUCUAUAUCAAAUGGAUGUGAAAAGCGCUUUUCUCAAUGGCAAGAUUGAAUAUGUUGCACAACCGCCUGGCUUUGAAGAUCCAAAACAUCCUGACAUGGUAUACAAGCUCAACAAGGCACCGUAUGGCCUCAAACAAGCCCCUCGGGCUUGGUAUGACACACUCAAAGACUUCCUGAAGAGCAAAGGCUUCAAAUCUGGUUCCCUCGAUCCCACUCUCUUCACGAAGACAUAUGAUGGUGAACUGUUUGUGUGCCAAAUAUAUGUGGAUGACAUUAUCUUCGGCUGCACCAAUCAGAAAUACAGUGAAGAGUUUGGAUAUAUGAUGCAAGAGCAAUAUCAGAUGUCCAUGAUGGGUGAGCUGAAGUUCUUCCUUGGUCUUCAAAUACGUCAGCAACGCAACAGCAUCUUUAUAUCUCAAGAGAAGUAUCUCAAAGAUUGCCUGAAGAAGUUUGGUAUGCAAGACUGCAAAGGCUUCACGACGCCAAUGCCAGCCAAACAUCAUCUGGGUCCCGACGACAAUGGUAAAGAGUUCGAUCAAAAGGUAUACCGCUCCAUGAUUGGUUAUUUACUUUAUCUAUGUGCAUCUAGGCCAGAUAUUAUGCUUAGUGUUUGCAUGUGUGCUCGAUUCCAAGUGGCACCAAAGGAAUUGCAUCACUUAGCUGUGAAGCGAAUUCUUUGAUAUUUGGCUUACACCCCAACUCUAGGAUUAUGGUAUCCAAAGGGCUCAGAGUUUGAUCUGGUUGGAUUCUCGGAUGCUGAUUAUACUGAUGACAAGGUGGAUCGCAAGUCUACAUCAGGCACAUGUCAUUUUCUGGAACGAUCACUUGUAUGUUGGUCUUCAAAGAAGCAGAACUGUGUAUCUCUCUCCACUGCUGAAUCUGAAUACAUUGCUGCUGGAUCUUGCUGCGCUCAGCUUCUGUGGAUGAAGCAAACACUCAAAGACUAUGGCAUUCAUCUGAAGCAAGUGCCACUCUACUGCGACAACGAAAGCGCCAUCAAGAUUGCCAACAAUCCAGUUCAGCACUCGAAGACAAAGCACAUUGAAAUUUGUCAUCACUUUCUCAGAGAUCAUGUUGUGAAGGAAGAUAUUGAUAUCAUACACGUCAACACUGAAGAGCAAUUGGCAGAUAUCUUCACCAAGCCCUUGGAUGAGAAGAGAUUUUGCAAGUUACGGUGUGAGCUAAAUAUCUUGGAAUCCUCAAAUGUCCUGUGAUCAGGCACACAUCCUAACACUUAUGCAUAUUGAUGACUUAGAUGCGCAACACACGAAGUAAAGUAUAUCUUCAAUCAAUGAAGACAUAUAUUCUAAGUGUGAAUACAUUAAUGUGGAAUUUGACUUCGGAGCGCCACGAUAAUUGUGCGCCGUGUCUGGGUCUAAUACUUCCUAUACGGUGGGUAACGCCACCACAAAAUUCGUCUGUUUGAAGUGUUUUACCCAUGGUGUUACAUUUGUUGUGUCUUCAAAUUUGGUUUGGCUUCAAUCUCAACAUGUCUUCAUGAUUAUCUUCAUUAUGUUGAUCAUAUAUAUAUAUAUAUAUAUAUAUAUAUAUAUAUAUAUAUAUACUAGUGUUCUGUCCUCUACAGCAUUCACUUAUAGCUAUGUCUUCUUGUUGAAUCUUUUGAACUAAGUGAAUGUGAUCGGACCCUAACCUCUUUAUGCUUUCUAUCUUAAACUCUAUCUCUCCAAAUCAUAUGCAUUCUAUUGAAACUGUCGAAUGUCUUCUCUGCGUCCUUGUUAGGAGAGGAUACAGAGACAAACAUUAAGUCCGUUUUCAAUGCUAAUUCCUUCACCUGAAACCCGGAGAAGUGGGAACGACCACCCGACAAUCCAGGCGUGUGUGGGAACAUGGAACAACCUCCGAUAUGUUGCAUGAUGGCCACGUGUUCUUCAGAUGUGAAUCGCCAGGGGCACCUGUGUAAUAACGUUGUGUCGUCCCUGUCCCUAUAAAUACACGCCUCACCACAGUUAUUAUCCCUUCUUCCACUCUCGCACGAACCCUAGCGCCACCGCUAGCCCUCGACGACGCCGACGACGAAGUGCUUAGCUGCCGCGACCUCUCCGACGCCGUCUUCACGCCGGCCGCGGACAUCGUCUUCUCCGCCGUCGCCGUAGGUGUCCUCCGUCGCCAAGUUAGGGCACGGACGAUCGAACUGCUCGGCCUCCUCUUCCACUCCGUCUAGCAGUUCCUUGUGUGGUAAAUAAAACUUCCUUUUUAUGGCCCCUUUGAUCAUAUAGAUUCGUCACUUUUUACCACAAGCAGUUUCUGUUCACACAUGUUGGAUACACUUCAUACUGCAUCUCAUAUUAUGCCUAGUAUGUUCACUUAUGCUUCACAAAGUAGUUAGAUUCCUCACUUGUACUGAUCCGUGGAUUCGUACAAAUCUAGAACCAACUCCUUAUCUAUGAGUGAAUGUCUUCGCACGAUGAGGUCAAUGUCUUCUAAACUGAUUUAUCUUCAAAAUCUUCUGAGAAUGCAUAUGACCUCUUCCCCUUCCCUCGCACCUUAAUGUUGUCACAGGUACAUGUCCGUGGGAGAAUCCCUUGGUUCUCAUAGUCUGCAUUCAUUUGCAGAAUUCUUACAACAUCAUAUAAAUUCUCCCGAACCUAGUUCCUGUUUGUCCAGCAAGCGAAAGCCCUUGAAGCCUUUGAACGUAUUGAAGCCAUUCAGUUUAAAGUUCAUGGCUGCAGAGAAAUCAGCAAGGAAGGGUGGCAGAAAGCGUCGAGGUGAAACGUCAAGAGAUCUGCCCGAUGACCUCUCAGAACUGUACAAGAUAGACCCAGAAGAGUAUUACAAUCAGCGCAAGACACGAAUCCAAUGGAUUCGAUGAUAUUGGGCAGAACAGUGGUUCAAGUACAGGUUUGUGACAAAGGAAUAUGCUGAGAAAAAUGCCAUCAAGCGACCAUGGGGAGACAUCCUAUACAGAAAUCUUCAACCCAGGUCCAGAGAUGAAGCCAUUGAACAAGGCUUCUAUCCCUGCAUGGUCCGUGGACCACAGCCUGCGGAUGCUGACCCAUCGUCACUGCUAUGGUGUCGUGAUGACAAUCUGUUCAAGCGCAACUUCCAGUUUGCCCAGAAUUCGGCGAAGCAGAAUAAGAAGUCAUUGGGACUAGACUUCAACCCCGGUCCCUCUGCUCCCCGUGCCGAUGGCACCCGCGAAGCUGAACCCAAUCUUGUUGGGCCCUUCUACAACCCGGAUGGCCUCCUCACUCACAUCUCAGUUCAAGGUGCCAAAGUGGAUCAUUCUGAUGAUGAGGCUGACACUGAUGAAGCCCCAGCUCCUACUCCAAAGCCACAGAAGCCAAAGCUGCCUAAAGCUUCAAAGCCUGCCUCAGCACCAAAAAUCUCAUGGGCGAAGCCACUGGCUACUGCACCUCCUGAAGACAGUGUGCAGUCUGAAGAUCUGUCAAGCAUCUCCAAGCCUCCGAGAGUCUAGAUGCCUUUGCCAUAUACCAGCCAAGAACUGUCUGCUGCUACUAUUCCGCGCAACGAUGCCAUUGAUCUGUCCAGUGAUAAAGAUCUUGCAGAUGACGCUCUUGAGCAACUGAUCAAGAGCAAAGAAGAAGCAGAAAUUUUCAACAAUUUGCCUCUCUUUGACGUGGCAAUCAUCCACGACUUCAUCGAUGAGUGGUUUGACACGUCCAACCUCAGCUUUGAAGAUCUGCAACUUCCCAUUGGCCUCAGUGUUGCCUUCCAUGGCGCCAUUGCUUCAGAGUUAGUUAUAGCCCAGCGCAUCGUUGAACUGAAGCAGAAGUUUGACUUUGAGAAAGCUCAGUUCAAGAAGCAUAUGGCCAAGCUCAGCGUGCAAGAGGUCAAGAACUUCAAGAUCAUGCUACACGAGCUCAAAGAAGCCUUUCUCAAGAAGCGUGAAGAAGCUCAAGGUUCUUGUGAGCGCAUGAAGAGCCUGGCUGACAAGUAUGUGCAAGCCUACAAUGAGGCUGAGAAGCGCAAGGCCCUUGGGCGUCCUGGCAUCAACCCCAGGAUGGCUGCAAAGCAGCAGCAACAGAAGAAGAAGAAGUCCGCUAUGGCCGAACCCGACGCACCAAGGCAGGAAGCACAUCCCAUUGUCUUCCCAAUCAGGAUGACUGGCUCGAAGCCAAAAGCCAGGUCUACCGCUUCAGAACUGAAGAAGACGAGGUCUGCUGAGGCUGAAGCCAGAAAAAGGAAACAUCUUGAAGCCUCUGUUGCUGCUCCCUCCAAGAAGAAGCGGAAAACCAAGAAGGAACGGGCUGCUCCCACAAAGCCCUUAAUUGUUGAACCUAUCUCCAUGGUUCGCCCUGCCGCUGAACAUCAAGAGUGCCAACUGACUGUCCAUGAGCCUGCUUUCACAGAGGCUCAUGAAGCUGAAGACAUUCCAGCAGCUGAUCCCACCGCUGCUGAAGACAUUGGUCACCAUGACAAUGUUGACGAUGAUGUAGUUCUUCCUCUGAUCGAGCACCAACAGGUAUCAUCGCCUGUGCUUACGCACAACGAACUCAUCAGCAUUGGUCAUCCUCUGACGCUAAUUGCUCGGGAUGCAUCAUGGGAUGAUCACCCACAACAACAAGUCACACCACCCCGGCAAGAAGAAGAAGAUAACUUUGAGGCCCAGCCAACUCCAUCUCCAAAGGCGUCGCUAGUGUUACGCAGGCUUCGCAAAGGACCAAGGUCUCAAGUCUCCGAGUCUGAGGCUAAAACCGCUGAAGACAUUCCGGCUGCAUCAGCCGAUGACACCCAAGAAGAAGAACGUGUCCCUACUCCCCCAACUACUGAAGAAGCUAUUCUCGAGGAGAACAUGUCUGUGCCCGACCCUCCAGCUCAUCAAGUGGAGGUAGAAAAUCUUGAGGCUGCCACCACCAACACCAAUGAAGCCACUGACGUUGUCAUGGCUGAAGCAAAUGUGGAGCCUACACCAACCCAAGAACCAGAAGUCAGCGAAGCCAAUGAUGCUACUGCUUCUAUUCCUGCGCCUGCUGCUGGUCCUCAGUUUGACUAUCAUAUUGAGCAUAGGCCUCAGGUACAGAAGCCAAUGCCAAGGUUGCCCAGGUUUCCAGGUCCUGGAAUAGCACCUGGAUCCUUUAAUGUCAACGGCUUCAAAGCAGACAACACCUUCUUCAAUAGCUCCAAGAACCCCUACUCAAGGGAACGAAUAUCUUCUGAUCGGUUCUGGAGCUAUCCGCAGCGAAGCUAUUACUCCUACAUUCUGUAUAAUCAAGGUCGCAUCUUUCCACAUAUGCGUCUUGACACCGAAGCAAUAGCUGGUCUGCCCUGUUUGGAAGAAGCUCUGGAUUGCUUCAAAGAGGUUGGAUUGUUGCCUUUCAUCACCGACCAAGAGCACUGGAACGAAGAGUUGCUGCUCCAAUUUUAUGCCACACUUCACAUACGUGGUUACAACAGAGAUCCGAAGACUUAGGUCCUUGAGUGGAUGACAGGAAAUGUUCAUCACGAAGCCAAAGCCUUUGAUAUCAUUGAGCUCACUGGUCUGCCCACUCCUGGAGAUCUCUAUGAACCUGGCUGUCAGCUUCACAGUGAAGCUAUGGAGAGCAUCUUUCAGAAGCCUGAACCGAACAUGAGUCAGAUACUCAGUAUGAUCAAGCCUUUGCCACAAGACGCUGCAUAUCCUAAGGAGUUCUUUGUUGAAGACCUGGAGUAUCUGCCAAGGACCAUCUAUCAUAUUAUAAGGCGAACUCUCUGGCCCAUCAAAGGACAUUCUCCACAUGCAAAGCUGGAAGGUGCAAUGAAGACUUUGGUCUUCUAUAUUCUUGAUGGCAAAUGCUUCAAUGCACAAGACUUCUUCAUCCGCCAACUUGCUGCAUCAGGAUCUGAUCUUUUUGGCUUGAAGUUCUACGCUUCAUGGAUAAUGCGGCUGAUUAAACUCCACUCAGCUAUCUCAUAUCAGCCAUCUGCUCGCAAUCAUCGGAUCUUUCUGCCUGAUGUGGAUAUGUCCGUUGAAGCCAUUUAUCCAGAGCCUGCCAAGGAACCUCUUAGUCUUUAGAAUGCGGAACAUCAAAGUUUCACUCAGAACAUUGAAGGAGUUGAAGCAGUCACUCAUGUUUAUCCUCUGGCUGGUACUACACGUGCACCUCAUCGUGCUCUUACUGAAGCAAAUCAAAGCACUAUUGCCCAACGACCCAAGAAGCGAUCUCGUGUUCUGAAUGACCGAGAGCUUCUGGUUGCUCUUCAUCAGAAACAUGAUAGGCAUCAUGACUGGCUGAAGUGCCAAAUGCAAAGUCUCUUGGUGGAUGUCAACCGCAUUCGCAAUCUUGCCACCAAGAAUGCCUUUGUUGCCCAUGAAACCUGUCGGCGUACAUGGAAAGGGCUGACGCUUAUGUGUUUUGAGGAUGAUCUUCAAGAGGAUGGCUUCUCUGAACGUUUCAAGUUUGACUCCACACCUCCCCAAAGGGCUGUGCUGCGACGAACUUCAUCUCUUGAAGACUCUGAGUUCUCUUCCUCUGCAGCAACUAUGAAUGCCAGAGUGAUCGAGGACGAAGAUGAUGCCACUUCACCGCCCCCUACUUAUGCACGCCUCGACACUACCCCAAGUUCUUCUGCACCGCCGAACACCAGCGAUGACCCUGCUGCUUCACCUACUCUUCAUGGAAACAAGUAGAUGCUCUAUGUCUUCCAACCUUUUUGGUCCUCACUGACAAAAGGGGGAGAAGCAUAUGAGUUUGAUAGUCUUCAAGCGGGUCCAUAUGGGCGGUUACCUUAUGUUUUGCCUAGUGUUUACAACUCUCAUUUUGACACAUUUGGUUCUUUGAGUUGUAACACUUAAACUCGACGGUCGUCUGCUACUUAUUUGCUAUUUUGUGAUGCGAUGAUAAAUCUGGCAUGUGCGACGAUAAAUUCCGCACUUAGAUCAUUUUGCAGACGUCCAUUUUUCAUUAUGCAUGUCAUUAUCUUCACAUGCCUUUCAUGCAUGAUGAAUUGUCAUCAUAAGUUGAAGAGGAUCUCCACAAGUACAACCUGCCAUGUGCAUUUGCAUUCCAAAACCAAAUUACUUAUAUGCACAUCUUCAGGGGGAGCCCUUGCAAUUUAUGAAGACAAUUCCUUAUCCUUUACAAUUUCACAUAUUAUAUUCCCCGUUGAAAACUUCAACUAGUUUGUUAUCAAUCACCAAAAAAGGGGAGAUUGUAAGUGCAUCUAGUGCCACCCCUAGUUGGUUUUGGAGUAUUGACGACAAACCUAGUUGAGGGACUAAUGUGUUUGUGAGAAUUGCAGGAUAACACAGGUAGAAGUCCCUCAUUGAUUCGGUUUUCCUACCAGAGAUGACCCCUAAAAAUGUAUGAAGACAUUGAAGUCAAAGGUGGUAAGUGAAGACAUUCACCUUGAAGACUAUGACAAGAGAAGACAUUGCAUGAAGACUAUGGAGCGCGAAGACUUAGAUCUUUCGUAGUUCUUUUUCUUCUUUGUUGAGUCAUAGGAACCACCGUACUGUUAAGUGGGGUCCAAGAAAACCAGUCAGAAUGACUAAAGUGAUGCUUAACCAAAAUCCUAUGUCUUCGAGUGAAGACUAUGAGAGGGAAUCUUGUUCAGAGUUGGACAAGUCAACUUUGUUUGUAGCCCAAGUAAAGUUGCCGUGUGUGUUUGAAAUCUGACCGUUGGAACACGUGUCAGUUCCUUAGUGACCCAGGGUCAUUUCGGACAAAUCAGGUCGGGUUGCCUAGUGGCUAUAAAUAGCCCACCCCCUACAACCAUAAAUGGUUGGCUGCUCAGAGUUAAAGUACGGCUUUUGUCGUUUGAGAGCAACCCACCUUGAAGCCUUUGAGAGAGAAUUCCUUGAGAGGAUAAAGCCCUAACCACCCAGAGCCAAACACUACUGGAAACAGGGAAUUUGUCAUAAGCCAGCUCUUUGCCAUCUGCCAACUGAUGGCAAAGAACGUCUUUGCCAUCUGCUUAUAAAAAACAGAUGGCAAAGAACUGACAGACGGCAAAGAACAUGAUUGCCAUCAACCAAUUCUUUGUCAUCUGCUAGUGGAUGGCAAAUAAUCUUUGCCAUCUGCCAGCAGAUGGCAAAGAGGUUGGCAAAUCCUAUGGCCGUCAAAAGUGUAACGGCGUACCAGCCCCACCUCUUUGCCAUCUGCCAGCAGACGGCAAAGAUUCUUUGCCAUCUGCUGGCAGAUGGCAAAGAGAUGGGGUUAUUUUUUUCCAGGUAAAAAAACUGUGGGGUUAUCCCCUCCCUCUCUCCCCACCCAUCCAGGUAAAAAAAACUUCGCAUCUCAUCCGCACUGUCCCCGUCGAUGGCGCUCUAGGCUCGGCCGCCGCCACCCUGUCGCCAGCCCCGUCGCUCCCCCGCCCUGUCGCCGGCCGCGUCACUCCCCCGCCUCGUCGCCGUCGCUCCCCCGCACCGUCGCCGUCGCUCCCCCACCCCGUCGCCGGCCCUUCCCCGCCCCGUCGCCGGCCCUCACCCGCCACCCUGUCGCCGGCCCCGUCGCUCCCUGCUGCAGGCGACGCCGCCGCCGCCAUGUCCAAGUCGGGAGCCCUAGAUCUCGCAUCGGGCCUUGGCGGGAAGAUCGACAAGGAACAAGUCAAAUUGGCGGGAAGCUCGGGAUGUUUUCCGGCAAACGCCGGCAAUGCGCGCAGUAACUGCAGUGCGUGGGGCGGUUACGAGGCUAUCUCCUACCUCCCGUUUGUGGAUCCUCCAUUGUUGAGCUCAACCAAGCGGCGGCCAUACAUCCGGCGACCGGCGACAGGCGCGACUUGGAGCUCGGGCGACAUGGAGUCUUUUGACGCAACUGAUUAAUAGGUACGGAUCUGCUCUGUCCUUGAUGCCCAUUAGUGGCCAUUUAGUGCUAGGGUUUGUACAAAGAUCUGAUUUUUUUUCCUGCUGGCUAAAUGUGCAAGAAGUAGAACUCUGCUAGAGGACGUUCACCGGGAUGGAGCCUCUUCAUUAACCGGUGACGACGCCGCCGGUGUGCGAGUUGCCGGCCAGGACAGCAUCAAGUGCAGACGGGCAAGUCUGCACAGAGGGUGUUGGUCGAGAAGCAGGAAGUGCAGACAAGGGCCAAGCUUCAGAGCAGUCGAUUGAGCAGGUGGAUCCGAAAACACCUGGGUGGACGCAAAGGUAUGCUCUUAGUCAGUGGCUCAGUGCCUUGCCUAUAUGAUUAAAUCUAGAAUAUAGACAUACAUUCAGGAAAAAAUAAUACUAGAAUCAGAUUUGACUGUAUGGUGAUAGUUCACUGUAUGUACAUAGCCCCUGUCAGUAAAUGAUUUUUUCUACAAACUACUUAGAACCUGCAUAUGCUCUUCGUCAGUGCGUUGCAAUUAUGAUUAAAUCUAGAUUGUAGAGAUACAUUUAGUGGAAAAAAAGAUUAGACUCAGAUUUGACUGUAUGGCCAUAGUUGACUGCAUGUACAUAUCCUUGUCGCGCUAGGCAGAGACCCAUGGAAAAAAAGAUGCAUUCAGUUAAUGAUUUUGUCCAUAAACUACUUAGAACCUGCCUACAUAUGCAAUGACAAAUCCAUAGUCUUGAACUCGUUGUGAUCUGCUGCGACACAUACACCCAUUUUAAUUGUCAAACUAUAAAAAGGGGAUUUGAUUCUGUGGAUAUGUUUUCAUGGCAUUGCAGAGUGCGUGUUGGGGCUGCCGCACUAGGUAGAGUCCCAAGCCCUGAUAGGAUUUCACCACUGGAGAGAGCAAUUCGGUGUUUUGCAGAGGAGCCUAGCGAGAUUGUCAUUGCGAAGAUAGGCACGAGUUUUGACACUCUUGGUGAGGCAUAUGAUUUCUACAAUCUGUACUAUUGGGAAAAAGAUUUUGGCAUCAGAUAUGGAAAGAGCAGACUAAAUGUGAACUGAACAAAAUGCAUGUGAGAGAUCGUGUGCGGCUGCGCGGUACUGUUAAUUUGAAGCUCUUCCUGUAGUUAGUUAUUUGCCUGUCUGAAAUUGGUGUUAGAAAAAUCUGAAUUUUAUUGAUUGAAAUUUUUACAAGGAAAACCAAUAGUUGAGAACACUCGAUCGUGUCGCUGCCAUGGUCACCGGCCUCUGCGUUCUGUCGCGCCUGCAACGUUGAUGAAAGGUGAAGGAGAUGGAAAUUUCAGAGAGGAAAACGUAAAAAAUAUUUAGGCAUGACUUUACCACUACAAAAAUGUUCAGUCACCGCCCUCGUGCCAAUUCUUGUGUGCUUUAUCCAUGAAACAGUCCAUGCUUCCCCAAAAUUCAUGCAUUUGAAGCUUCGAACUGAGGCUUAGUUCAUUUAGGGAAAUGAAUUGUAGACGUAUUUUUAAAUUUAUGUUUAGUACUAGAAUUUUGUGAGUGUGAAGUGGCUGAACUGAUGUUUCAAAUUCAUAAUCUUCAUUGCAAGUACAUGAACUGAUGUUUUUUCCCGCAUAUUGCUCAAUUUAUACUAUGCCUUUAAUUUACUAGAUGAACUGCACACCUCAACGCAGCACUAAUGCAAAGAUUCUGCAUCUUGGUCGGCUGCUCGCGGCGGGGCUUGUGUCUGGUGCUUGAGACAGUGGCAGAGCAGUGCCCGCGAGCGCGGCGCAAGCAGUGGCCCCUGCUAUGUGGGCUGAUGCAAGCGCGGCGCAAGCACUUCAAGUCUGACAAUGUCCACUCUACAAGGUACAUGGGCACUCGUGCAAAGAUCUAACAUCUUCAUCGACUAGUACUAAGGUAUGUGUUUUCUUCUGCCCGUGUGAUGUGGUGAUUAUUUGUUCUGCAUAUGUUUGUAUAUGUUAGUCAGUAUUUUGGAGAUAUGAGAUGGUUUGCCAGAUAAGAAAUAGAACAAGAACAAGCAGGAGCUUUAGUUGGGCCAUGUCAUUGUGAACUUGGAGCACAAAAAUGUAUAGGAAGUGGUCGUCGUAAAACUGGGUGCUUAAGAUCUACUAAACUAUAACAUUUUUUUAGUCUUAAGUAAAGCAAUUACUUUCUGGGUCAUAUUUAAUUUGUCUAUGUUAAUAAUUUCUUGCGUGAAUAGAUGGGCCAAGCCAAGCAGGCCAUCAACCAACUACUCGUGCUUUGCUUUAUUUUAUUUUAUUUUAUUAUUUGUGUUCUUAAUCUUGGUUUUCACUGGUGUGUGCUCUGUCCUCUCAGGUUAGAUUUGAAUUUGUUGUCAUAGAAAAAAUAUUUCUAUCGCCUUUAAUAAUAUAGGUAAUCCAGUUAUGUAUGCAAGAUCCUCAGUGAGGAUUAUUUUUUUCCGAAUCACUUAUCCCUGAGCAGCAUCUGCAUCCUUCUGCCUUAGCCUGAUCAAUUUUUCCCACUAUACAAUUUUGUUUUUUGUUUGCCAACAUAUUCGAACGAAGGUGUCUCCAUGUCAAGCAUGCAUCCAUUGAAAUUUGGUGUUAACCAAUUUUUGGAGGAUUGCAUCAAUGUUUCUCCAUAGGAUGUUUAUCUUUUCGGUCUUUUUGCUAAUGACAAUGUUUGGUUUGCCAGUGCCCAGUUGUGUAUAUUCUUGGACCUUUUACAUUUGAUAUCAACAAUUCAAAAGUUAACAUGGAUCUAGCCAUCUAGGUGAACUUCCAUUUAAUGUUAUCAAUUUUCUUGCAGCGAACUUGAAUGUUUUUGUUACUUUUGCUUGUACUUGAUAUCUUCCAGAGGCUAAUGUGUUGUGGAGUUUAGCUCUCAAUAUGGUGCCCAUAUUUUUACGGUUAAGGCAAGAGCUCUGCCAAUUCAUUGAAGUUGAGGGAAACUGUAUCAUUGUUGUCAGUGCACAUUCAGAGAUGUAUGAGUGGUUCCCAGCUUUGCUGAUGUCUUCCUUCGAGCUUAAUAAAAUUGUGUUGCAUACUUUUGGUUUGUGAGUUUUUUUUGGCAUUAUGGUGUUGCUGAGUUUAAUUGGGGUGGCUAUUUUUAGUAGCUUCUAAUUUCAAAAUCCAUGUAGCCCAACCGUGCAGGAGCCACACAAAGCUGCAUGGUGCUUUUGCUUUCUGAGUUAGUCGAACUAGUAAAUGCAGUACUGGUGAAGAUUGGUAGGUCCAACCGGUAGCUAACACUUAUUGGCUCAUAAGCUCCGUUAGCUCAGAAUCUAACCGAAGACGGCUCAUUCCAUCCAUGGGCUUCUGAUCCAUUUAAACGGUAACUGGCGGAGUUACCUGGACGCUAUGUGAUGUGUGGGCCACAAUCUGUUAAAAAAUACUGCAAUAGCAUAGUACGACUUUACCAGGACCUACAUGUUGCACGGAUCACGAUAUAACCUAGUGGUGCAGAUUCCGGGCUCACUGCAGCUCGAGCUCACAUAAGCACUUUCGUGUAGAUACUUCCAAUUUUGAAUCUCUGACUUACUAAAGAAAUAUAAUUUAUUACCAACAUAAUACUCCCUCUGUUUUUAUAUACUCCGCAUAUUAGCUUUGGUCAAAGUCAAACUAUGUAAACUAUGAUAAAGUUUCUAGACAAAUAUGUUAACAUAUACAAUAAAAAAUCAAUACAAUUAGAUUCAUUAUUGAAUAUACUUUCACAUCAUAUAGAUUUGUUAUUGUAAAUGUUCAUAUUUUUUCCUAUAAACUUGGUCAAACUCUAAAAUGACAUAAUAUGCUUAAGAAAUGACAUAUUUUAGCUCCUAAAUGACUUCACAUGCUUAGCUAGCUCCAAAAUGACAUAAUAACCUUACUUAGCUCUAGAAUGACCUUAGCAUGUUUUACACCAAAAUGACUUAGUAUGCUUAGCUAGCUCAAAAAUGACAUAAGAACCAUACUUAGCUCCAAAAUGACCUAUUUUAUAGAUAUAAGUUGCAUCAUAAUAAUCUUCACAUUUUAGUUGCAUCAUAAUAAUCUUCUUCUUCUAGACUUCUUCUUCUAACUUUCUUCUUUCCCAUUUUACAGAUUUGCUUAAGAUCACGUAAGCUUGGGUUGAUGGAGUGCUUGUAUUUAGUUUUUGUUUUGACCUUGUGAAACUUGCUACCUAUGGAUGAAACUGUGUAAUAUUGAUGAAACUAUGUAUAUGUACGGAUGAAACUUGCUACUAUUGGUAACAUGUGUUGGAUAUAUAUGUGUUCAUGACUAUUGGUAAUAUGUGUUGAAUAUGCUAUAUUGGUCAUAUAAAUAUAUUUGUGUUUGAUUUUCUAUGAAAAUGAAUUGAUAUAAGAAAAAACAAAAUUAAAUAGGGCAUUAUAGUCACUUUGCCAUCUGCUGGCAGAUAGCAAAGUAUGCCGUUAGCCAUCUAACGGGGCUAACCCCGUUAAGAGGCUUUGCCAUCUGCCAGCUGAUGGCAAAGGCACAGGCUCUUUGCCAUCAGCCAGCAGACGGCAAAGAAGCCUUUACCGGCAGGGUUUCAGACAAACUGUUUACCAUCUGCUGGCAGAUGGCAAAGCCUUUGCCAUCCGCCGACCAUGCCUUUGCCAUCUGCCAGCUGAUGGCAAAGGCACAGGCUCUUUGCCAUCAGCCAGCAGACGGCAAAGAAGCCUUUACCGGCAGGGUUUCAGACAAACUGUUUACCAUCUGCUGGCAGAUGGCAAAGCCUUUGCCAUCCGCCGACCAUGCCUUUGCCAUCUGCCAUGGCAGAUGGCAAAGUGCCAGAUUCCAGUAGUGAAAGAGUGUUAGGCAUCACUUAAGUCUUCUUGUCUGUGUGAUCUGAAGACUUAUUACACUUGAGGACUGUGAAUCCUCCAGCCGGUUAGGCGUCGCGUUCUGAGCAUCCAAGAGUCAUUGUGGAUCGCCGGUGAACGAAGUCUAUGAAGGUUUGGAAGUUUACCUUGAAGACUUACCAGAGUGAUUGAGCAAGGUCUGUGUGACCUUAGCUCAAGGGGAAUACAGAGAGGACUAAGUGUUCUGAGCUGUGUGCUCAGGACUAAGUGUCCGAGACUGAGUGUCCUCAGGUUUAAAUACCUAUCCGCCCUAACCAGACGUACAACUAUCACAGCAGUUGGAACUGGUCUACCAAACCUUUGUCUUCGUCACGCACACUGGUUCUAUCCUUCUCAUCUCUUUAUUUACAGUUGGCUCUUGUAAAGUCAGUACCUAUUUGCUUUAUCUAUUUGUCUUCACUGUGUACCUGAUCCUUACUGCCUGGCUACUAUUAGUCAGUGUGGUUUCACUUCAUUGAAUGCUUGACUAUUGUCUGUCUAGUGUAGUCUAUCUUCCGCUGCAUGGAAAUAGGUUCAUUUCUAUCAUUUGUCUUCGAAACUUCCAUGUUUUGAAGACUUUCAUAAAAAUCGCCUAUUCACCCCCCUCUAGUCGAUAUAACACACUUUCAGGUCUAAUGGAUGGGUAAGCAUCAUCGUUGUCCCUACUACAUCCUCUCCUUUAUCAUCUCGGUCAACUGCUCCCGAACCACCCAAAUCGCUCUCAAAGUAGGAGGAAUCUAUAUUCAACUUGUAGCUCUUGGAGGUUUCUUCCUUAUCAUUUCAUGUGGUUUAGAAGAUCUUGUUCUGAUGUUGAACUUUAACGGUAUUGCAUGAAUCGUAAAAGUAGAACUCGGAGCUGGUGCAACAUACUCGCACUUGACAGCCUGGCGCCACUGCCACGAGAUAAAGAAAGCCUGACUGCGACCGUCUCCUUCAAGUGCUUCAUACCUAGGAUUGGUGACUUUCCACAACCCCGGAUCAGUUCCUCAAGGGUGACCGAUCCCGAUUUGUCAACAACAAGUGCUUUGUCAAUGAUCUCCCAAAGACCCAAAGAACACCACGCUUCUUUUGCUCACUGGCACGUAAACAUUAGAUGUCGCAUAUCCUCAGCCCCUCCCAUACAGAUCGGACAUUGGGGGUUAACCUACUCAAAUGUAACACCCCCAUUAAGCUUUACUGAAUAAUUUGCAGUUGUGACACAUCUCAUAAUCAUCGAAAUCCAUCCCUGGGCAAAGCCAAAGGGUGCCAACAUAAAAUAGGGCUUCCUUUAGUUUAUUGGAUAGUAAUAUCACAUUAAUAGGGAAGUUAUAGGAAAUAAAAUAACAUGUAUCUCAAAUGCUAUAAUAAAAGAGAUGUUAUUUGGUUCAUAAGAUAUGAUUUUUUUCCACUACAUUUGAGUAGUAUUCUUGUUUCCUCAAUUUUUCAUUCAGUUCGCAAGACACCAUAUUGUUUUGUAAAAUUUAUAUGAGUAAGUUUCAACUCGAUGCCUAUUUGCGUGGGUUUUUUCGAUUUAUUUUUGAAACUUGGAAAUAUUUUAUCGCAAAUACAAAAAAGCUUUGAGUAUCAUUUCAUUGCUAAAAGAGUUAGGGUACAAUAAGUACAUAAGGCAUCACACAAGCAUGUGUGACUGCCAGCACUAAAAGAACAAAGGGGUGCGCGGCCCCGAAAAACAAUCGCCUACAUUCGGGGGUCAGAUGUGCUAGUCCUAAAGCUCCCGAACGAACCCAAGAGCAAGCUUCCUCCUUGAUGAUUCGGAUCAGCCACUAUGAUGAAGACGUAGCCAUUGUGGUGCUUACAAAUGCGCCAUGAAGUAAGGAUGAGGAGGGUGGCAAGUCCGGGUCGAAGACAAGUGAGCACGCCAAGAACAGUAGAUGAGAGCCAGUCUAAGAAGUCAUUGUCGUGGCGGGGAAGGGUUGCAGUGGAUCGGCACCAUAGGGAGCACCAGAGAAAAGUUGGAAAUAUAUAUUUGGCUAAGUUUCAGAGCGUGGAUACGCUGAAACUCAAGAUCAUCCUAGUGUUUUGUCGUUGGGAUGAACCAUAGUCCUUGGUGAAAAAAAGCAUAGGCCUUAGUGAGAUUUAAAGUUUUCUCACAUCAAAGAAUGCAAGGUAAUGAUGAAUCUAAUUUUCUAUUAAAAAGAGCAAAAAAAUCCAAACAACCUUGCACAUGUGUAUCCACCGCACACCAUAGACAAACUGGCUCUAGGAAGGGAGCACAAAAAGUAUGCAUGAUUAGAUUUCAUGGAGGACUGGUGGGGAACGAACUUGGCAAAAUUAUAACAGGCUAUGGGCAAUACGAGACUUUAAAAUAUGAGAAAUUUGAAAAAAUAUUCUCAAAAGAAAGAUAACAUCGUAAGAAUCAACAAAUGUCAUGAUCAAUGGCAUGGGCAAGAAUUUAAGAAUCAAUCUGAAUCUGCAUUCGCAAGAUUCUUCAGCUCUACGCUUCCUGGAGUGCUUUCUUGCAGGCUUCAGCUUCCUUCCCUCCUUGAGCUUAACCUUCUUUAUCGCCACAUGUUCUCCCAAUUGGGAUGCGCCUCGAACUUCAUCUAACAAUGAAUCAAUGUGAAGGGCUUGCUCUCCAUUCUAUAGUACAUCGUGGUUGCACGUCCGGGCUAUACAAUGACGUGAUCAUCAAGUUGCAACAUUGAGUGAAUAAAUAAAUUGACCAACACCUGGAGAAAUAAGAAGCAAAACUUACGAUCUCCAUGAUUGACGCUUCUAGUGGCUACCUUGUCUCCACUUGUACAAUCGCACUUCAAAACUUUAUGAUGGAGUUUGAAAUGGUAUGCAACCGAUGGAGUAGCAACUUCGCACUGCGAUCGUUUAUCACAUCCAAAUGUCGCGGGGUGCUUGUACUCAUGAAACCAAAAAUGCACAUGUUGUCAAAUUUUGGUACCUGUUUUCUUCAUGCCUACAAACCCCGCGCUUGUGGCCAACCACGCGUCGCACAACAAUGCGUCCUCCCUCACAGAGUAACCCCGACAUCAUGCUUACUCCAUGUUAAACAAGGAGAAAGUCAAAAAAAUCUCAAUAGCAUUUGACCGAACACUUGUCAGGUGUGGUGUCCGCCAUGAACAGCGUCGGAAGGGGGCGCACAAUACCUGGACACGAACGGGUAAGGGGAUGCAAAGAUGGCAAAGUACAAGGCACCUAGGUGGAGCAGCGGUGGUCCGACUAGAACUGGGCGGCGGCCAAAGUAGAUCAAGGGGGGGAAGGGACUGAGGCUGUGUUUGGUUCAGCUUUUUUUACCAACUUCUGCUUUGAAAAGCCAAAAGCUAACCAAAUGGGUAAAUGUUCAAAGCAGCUUUUGAGAAUCUGUAGCUUCUUCCUAGUGUAAAUUUCAAAGCUGGAGGUACCCCAACUUUUCAGCUUCCAGCUUUUUCACAGCAGCUUUUCCACAGCAGCUUUUUCACAGCAGCUUUUUUAGAAUCUGCAGCUCAACCAAACACAGCCUGAGUGGAGGAAAAGAGCUCCGAGAUGGGGUUUUGUGUGGGACAGGUGUUCGGUGUUCUACAGGGCGGCUGUCUGGACUCUCUCAAAUGCCAGCUUUACUUCCAGUUUGAUGAAAUCCGGAUGUGUGGAUUGCUCCAUUAACAUUUGAGGACGGCGUUGAACCGCUCAACGUGUCUCGACGUUUACGAGCGAUUUGAGGACGGCAUUGGAAUGACCUCCUUGGCUUCCUCAACAACUUCCCUUGACACACGGGCCGUUCUCAGAUCAUGUUCUCGUUUUGAUUAAACCUUCAUUCAGUAGGUCAAACUCCUUCGUAUUAGAAAAAUACUUUGCCAUGUGCACCAACUCUUAGCUGAGCCUCCCAGCACCGAACAACCCAGAAAAUAUCUUGCCUUCACAUGGAAGGCUCAUGGAAGCUGCCUAACAUAUGAAUAUACAAAUCCGCUACACUAAAUGUCUCAUCUUGCGUUUGAACAGACUAACCAGCAAAUUACUAGUGUUUGGUCUACGUAUGUUAUAUGGUCCAAGGCCGGUUCAGCCAAUGCGACAACAAGAGGACAAAAUAAACACCCGCUCGUUCUCAGAUUACCUGCACGCGAGCACAGCUCUUCAUCAAACGCCAAAUAACAGAAACUGUCGCAUACACGAACCGGUGACUAAUUCGAUGACUGUUCUGGAACAAAAGAAAUAAAGAUUUGCAGCAGCAAAAUGACUGUCCUGGAACUAGCACGACAGACAGCAACAUCUUCACACAGAUUC